rnacentral:lncRNA from 1 species
CCGUCGGGGCGCAGCCAGCCGGCCCCAGCCCGGCGCGGGGCUCCUCGGGCAGAGGCGGCGCGGCCCCGGCCCGGGCACGGCCUCCGCUUGCCGGCUCCGCGGGGCCGGGGGGGCCGGGCCGAUCCAGGCCGCCUUUUGCGGCGCACCCGCCCAGCCCCGCCGCGAUCACAUGCUGGGCGCCCGCGGCCGCCUCCCGCCCGGCCCGGCCCUCCGCUCCGCCGCCGCCCGCCAUCGCCGCGCUCCCCCUCCCCGCGCCGCCGGAGCCCCCUCCUCCCCCUCCUCCUCCUCCGGCCCCGGGCUGCGCUCGGGGGGCUCCUCGGGAGCCGCGGGCUGUGCCGGUGGGGCUGCCGGGGCCGCCGGCCCUCGCGCCGCGGGCUCGGAUCACUUUUCUCCCCGGGAAAUCGCCGCCGCGUAUUCGCCGUUCGCCGCUUCUUCCGAGUUGGGAAGCGGCUCGGGGCCGCGCGGCGCUCCGCCGGGCUCGGCUCGGUGCUGGCUGCGGCGCCGACCGCGCUCAGAGCCGCGGCCGUCGGCGAUCGGACGCCGGAGGGAAUCCGAUGCGAUUUCGGCCGUGUCUGCGCGGAGCCGUCCCUCCCCGCCUGCAAACGGUUCAUUAAGGGGCUGAGGCAGUACGGCAAGAACUUCUUCAGGAUCCGAAAGGAGUUGCUUCCGAAUAAGGAGACCGUGAGUACACCAGACUUUCUGUCAUUCGCCUUGCCGCUGCUCUUUGCUCCUACCGAGCUGUUCCCUGCCCACCCCGGCUGCGUUCUGCUGGCGCUGCCGGGAGAGGAGCGCGCAGCCGACGGGAGCUGGCUGUGCUUUUUGGGGCCGUUUGUCGGGUUUCGUUACGUAAAGGAGUCGGUGGCGGCCGGAGUCGUUCAGGCAGCACGGAGCGCAUUUCUGGAGAGCAAAUCUAAUUUUAAAUCCUGACAUUAGGAGGGGAUAAUACGUUUAUGUCGCCGAGUCGGGCUCAAAUGGCAGCGGGUAAUUAAAGCAAGCCUAAACCAAAACAGGAUCUAAUUGAAUCUGGAAGAAUGAGGUAUGUGCUGCUGCUCCCCGACCUGCGCGCUCCGUGCUCGCGUUUAACUCUUCGUCUCCUGCAGUGUGCGGGCAGCGAACGUGCAACUUCGGCUGCAGAACUGCUGUGUGCCUCCAACUUCACACGGCUCCGCGGCCGCCCGGCUCUGCUGCAAACCCCAGCGCGGGCAGGGAGCGGAGUGGGACUUGUGUGGGGGCAGAGGGAGGCUUUGGGAAGCCUGGGGAACGCGGUUCGCUUCCCACGAGCGCUGCUCUAGAAGCUUCGGUUUCCGUGCUGCAGGUGUCGUUUGGCUGCCGGGAGGCUUUGGGAGAGCAGUGCUCGUGUUUGUGCUGAAUUCAGAAGGCAGGGAGCAGCGGGUAGAAACCAGGGCAGAGCGCCCGUGUGUCAGCCGUGUCAGUGCAGUUACGUUAGCGAUGCCGAAGGUGCUGGUGCAGGGCGUGAUGGAGACGAGGUUGUUCAGACUGUUCUUUGUGGUCUUUUUGCGGAUGUUCGGCAGGAAGGAGCAUCCCCGGGAAAACAUUGCCAAGCCUGUGGCAGACCAUAGGAUGUGCCAGUUCUGUUGUCGUGGCGCGGUGCUGUGAUAUCACGGCCGUGCGUCAGUAAACGGUUAAUGAGAGCGGUGAAUCAGAUUGAAGGGGAGGGGGCAGCGGUUCCUGGGGUGCCUCGGCCGGUCUGUGCUCUCUGAUUACAUGGAGAACGAUAGGAAAACCUAAAACAAGCGUGGGUAGACUCAGCUUUGGUAUUUGGUUGGGGUUGGGGUGGGAAGGCCCGGUUUGGGGAAGGUGACAGCCGAAAUAGGGGCCUUCUUAGCAGCACACCGUCAGCGUCAGCACUGCUCUCCUCUGUGCUGUAAUACUUACCAUGUAUUUAGGACAGAUCAAUAGGUACUUCAGAAGCUAUUCUGCUGAUAGCAAAGUUACUGAUGGUCGUGAGUGCUCUUUUAAAGUUGGAACGAGAACUGUGAAAUCCGGCUUUAAAUAUAACAUGUCUUUUUGUGGUGGGGAAGAGGAGUGUGCAGGAGAGAAGGAGGACUGAAGCUGAGAGCUGGGGGCACACGCCUGACCCUGCUUCUGCUGCGUGGCUUCUGCUGCUUGCACUCGGGUAUCAGGCCUGAGGCUCUGCAAAAGGUUUGCAAGUGGUGUGAAAUGUGAUCCAGGCUGUUAUUGCUCAAGUGUUAGAUUUUUGUUUCGUUAAGCCUCCAUUUUUAGCUCAGGGAAGACUAAAUAUUAACUCGGAGCAACUGGGAGCCGUGUGCUGGUGGCUCGGAGCGGGCUGCUGUAGCCCCUGGUGGUAACUGAUCUACAAGUAACCUUUGACCAGCAGCAGAUUGUUUAAUCUCUGCUUCCUAUUUUUGCCCACAGGUCCCCUUCUGCACUCUUUUCAUUCCCAGUUUCCCCCCCCAGACAAAAUUUGCAGCAGUUUUGCUAUCACGACAUGCCCAGAGUAAAGGCAGCAGUAAAUAAUAUCUGACCGCCCAGCUUUGCUUUUCCUCGUUGCACGGAGUAUUGCAAAUUGCGAGGCUGUGGAAUGAAUUUCUCUGCCCUUUUCUCAUCCCCGGAAUAAUUUCAGACACUUUGCUCGUCGUUCUUCUGUUGCAGCAUGAAGCAACCCCCUAGCAAUUCCAGAAAUGCUGCAAAAAAGGCCUUCUCUUCCUGCUUAGCCACCGUAUUAACAUGAGGUAAAUCUGUAAAGUCCUUUACACGCUCACAGGAGAGCUGCAGCCACUCCUCGGUCCUGCAGAAGCUGCUUGAAAAUGAGACAGGGGCAUUCUUGAAGUGACUUGCCCUAAAUGGAAACCAGGUUAUGGGUCAGUACAGCCUGCAUGCUCCUCAUCUGUUAGACUUUACCCAGCCAGCCCCUGCAGUCUGCAGGGAGGGCAGGCAGGGAUUCUCCAUCUCUGGAAAACCCACUGAAAUUGAAGGUUCCUUAUUUUCGUGCUUUUCCCCGGUGCUUUCCUUUUAAUGCUGCUUUUGCACUGGGAGAACACCUCCUAAUGCUUCCUUAAGCCCAGCACUCAACGUUGCAUUAGCAGAAGAUAGAAAUAGGAAAUUGCACACAAUUACACAGGAACCAGGCCUGUCAGGUAUUAAAACAAGGUGAUGUUACCUUAAAGGAAGUCUGAGGAUUAACACAAUGAUGUUUGUUUCCCAAUACCAGGAGGUACACAGCAGCCGUGGUGAGCCAUGAGAAUUAGGCCACGCUGCACACGUCCUCACAACCACACUGAGGGUGUCCUAUUGGAGUUACUCCUCUGCUUUUCUCCUCUCCUCUCAACACGUUAAGAACCCUAUGUUUCUCAUGUGUAUUUUAACUAACUUAACACGUUUUUCCAAUGCUUUUAAGCACAGCUAAUUCUGAGCAGCCAGCAAGGAAAGGUCUUUAUGCUGUGUAUCAGAGCUGUAUUUUUGUUGAGGUCUUCUCCAGCCCAGUUUAUUUCAAAGCAGUUAUGUGGAAGGGAGGCUCCCAGUGGGCAUGGGGGUAAACAGCUGUAACAUUCUUUCUCUUCAAGCUUUUAUGAGCAGGAGACACAGGAACUAAAGCAGCUCUUAUCUGAGCAUGCCCCCUGCUGAAACAGGAGUGCUGGAGUUGAUUAAGGAAAGCCGAUGGCUUUGAGGCUGCAUCGGUGUCAAGUGGGGAUGUAGUGGAGAAAAGGUGCUUCAAUACAGCAUCUGAAGCUUGCUGGGUUUCCACUGAACACCAUACUGUCUCCAUCCUUCCCUCUGCUCCCAGAUAGCUUCCUCUGAUUGUGGCCCCAGCUGUAGCUGAAUGUUUUCUGGGCAGCCCUCCUGAUUGUCCCACAUGGAAUGCCAGGAACUUGAGGCAGCGUUGUGACACAACCGGUCUUCAUGAGUAACUUCCAUGUAGAUUCCUGCCUUGUGAGGUGCAAGCUCAACAGCUAGCAGCAAGGUUUCGUCACUGUCUCCGUUGGCUCUGUGUAUGCUUUUUCUUCCUGUUUGGGGCUAAUUUGCUAAAACUUGGUGAUACGGGAUUCUCAAAGUGUUAACAGCUCUCCGCCAUGAGUUCUCCAGGUGAUUAAUGAGCUGCUUGAAUUUGAGCAUUUCAGAAGGACCAGCACCAAUAGGCCUUUGCUAAGCGGGCUUACAUGCGUACAAGGUUGGGGCUUGACUUCUUGUGUUCUUGUAAAUAGCUUAACUCCGUGCCAGUGACGUGCCCGAGGUAAGCAGAAGCCUGGCUGCGGUGGGAGGAGUCCCUGAGUCACACUGUUAGCUUGCUCAUGCUCAGGGCUGCUCCUGCUCCUGUCCCAGGCCUGUCCCCACUGCAGGGCUGUAGGCUCCUGGGGUUGUUGUCGCAGGUUGCCUGAGCUCUUGAAGGCCACAGACCCAGAAGAAAGGGUCUGAUUGUUCUCUAGCUGGAGUUGUGUAGUCCCAUUUGGAGUAGAUGCGUCUCUGACCAGCAGAACUCAAACUGCUCAGCCUCUAGAAAUGGGGGGGACGUAUGCGUGUGUCCCUUCAAGCAGCUGUACGUAAGUUUCAGGCUAAUGACAGUAGGUGGCUGUCACGUUUGCUGCAGUUGAAUAGGGCUGAGGAAACACCAGACCUUUGAUGGGAAUGGGCCCAAGUACUUCUAACCCUUUUUUUCCUAGCCUGUUUUUAAAACCAGGGAUGAGACCUCCUUGAAUGCCUCGAUGUUCUCCGAUGGCUCCUCCUGCACUUCCUUAGGUCACAGUACCUGCAGCGUGCUCUGUUUUGUACGUAAGGACUAAAUACACGUCAGUUUAUUCUUCAGGAAGAGUAUUCUCUGUUACAGUAGUAAAAUCCCUCUAUCCAAAUUAAACGCUAUUGGGAUUUAUUUCUGAGACUAAAUAAGCUGUCCACUGUUAGUGUUAGGAGGCAAUGUGAGCGCGCCGUGAGCUUUCAGCAUCAACUUCUGUUUAAUUUUAGAUUGGGGUUUAGAUAAACAGUUUUAUUCUUGCCUCAUUAAUGCUUAAUCUUGUGUUACAUAAUCCACAAUAUUGGCUUCCUGAGUGGCUCUUCAGUGCAGUGCAUGUGUGUGGGGCUGGUGGGUGCGUGUGCUCCUGGCAGCUCAGUGCCCUGCAGAGCGCUGGGGCAAACGCAUGGCAGAGCUCGUCCCUUGGUCCAAGUGUUCACAUUGCCUUUCUCCUUUGCUAGUGGGAUAAGGAGGUGAAAUCCCCGAGGACAAAGAGAUUAGUUAGCCCUACAUUGACUUGUUAGCGUUUACACUUCGUGGUGUAAGUGAGCAGUAGCUGGAUGUGAUGGUGUCUGUAGCAUGGGCGUUAGCGCCGUUCUCCUUUCCCAGAGGAUGUACCUUCUGUUUGAUGGUACCUUCCCACACCGUGGGAUGUUAAUGCACGGCGUGGUCCGGGCCUUUUGUUUUCUGACUCGUCUUUGCUCAGGAAGGGACGAGCUGCGUAAGGCUUUUCUGCUUGAAAGCUGAACCUUUUUCCUUAAUAACUUGCUCUCGCCUCAGCACGGGCAGAGCUGAAAUUUUCCAUUCGAGUUUGAAGUGACUGCCAACAUAAACAGCCACUGCUCCUUUUCAUUCCGGCUCUGCUCACUGCUGCUGGUGCUUCCAUCGCAGGGACGAUACAGAUAGAGGGUUUUGUUCUCGUUACAGCAGGGCCUGGGCUUGGCGUGUUCCCGAGUGUGGCCGAUAUCCUGCUGGGCCUCAGCCCCAAACUCGGGCCCAGGCCCCGGCUGCUCUCUUUUCCUGUGCAAGUAAAAGCACUGGGGCUGUUUGCACAGCUCUUCUGUAGGGAACGGCUUUCCAUUUCUGGUUGUUAUUUUUU